rnacentral:rRNA from 1 species
GAUGAACGCUGGCGGCGUGCCUAAUACAUGCAAGUCGAACGAGUUCUGGUUGAUGAUGGCGGUGCUUGCACCAAUAGAUUUAACAUUUGAACGAGUGGCGGACGGGUGAGUAACACGUGGGUAACCUGCCCUAAAGUGGGGGAUAACAUUUGGAAACAGAUGCUAAUACCGCAUAAAUCUUGGAACCUCAUGGUUCCAAGCUGAAAGAUGGCGUAAGCUAUCGCUUUUGGAUGGACCCGCGGCGUAUUAGCUAGUUGGUGAGGUAAAGGCUCACCAAGGCGAUGAUACGUAGCCGACCUGAGAGGGUGAUCGGCCACAAUGGGACUGAGACACGGCCCAAACUCCUACGGGAGGCAGCAGUAGGGAAUCUUCCACAAUGGGCGCAAGCCUGAUGGAGCAACGCCGCGUGAAUGAAGAAGGUCUUCGGAUCGUAAAGUUCUGUUAUUAGAGAAGAACACGUGUAAGAGUAACUGAUUAUGCGUUGACGGUAUCUAAUCAGCAAGUCACGGCUAACUACGUGCCAGCCGCCGCAGUAAGAC